rnacentral:rRNA from 1 species
AGCUCCAAUAGCGUAUAUUAAAGUUGUCGCGGUUAAAAGCUCGCAGUUGGAUUUCUGCUGGGGACGACCGGUCCGCCCUCCGGGUGAGCAUCUGGCCCGGCCUCGGCAUCUUCUUGGAGAACGUGUCUGCACUUGACUCUGUGGUGCGGUAUCCAGGACCUUUACUUUGAGGAAAUUAGAGUGUUUCAAGCAGGCGCCCGCCUUGUAUGCGUUAGCAUGGAAUAAUAAGACAGGACCUUGGUUCUAUUUUGUCCUUUUUUUAGAGCCGAGGUAAUGAUUAAUAGGGAUAGUUGGGGCCAUUCGUAUUUAACUGUCAGAAGUGAAAUUCUUGGAUUUGUUAAAGACGAACUACCGCAAAAGCAUUUGCCAAGGAUGUUUUCAUUGAUCAAGAACGAAAGUAG